rnacentral:rRNA from 1 species
AUUGAACGCUGGCGGCAGGCCUAACACAUGCAAGUCGAGCGGAGCGACGGACGGGUGAGUAAUGUAUAGGAAUCGGCCUGGUACUGGGGGAUAACGCUCGGAAACGGGCGCUAAUACUGCAUACUAUCACAUGAGCCUAGGUCGGACUGGCUAGUUGGUUGGGGAAAGGGCUACCAAGGCGACGAUCCGUAACUGGUCUGAGAGGAUGAUCAGUCACACUGGAACUGAGACACGGUCCAGACGCCUACGGGAGGCAGCAGUGGGGAAUAUUGGACAAUGGGCGAAAGCCUGAUCCAGCCAUGCCGCGUGUGUGAAGAAGGUCUUCGGAUUGUAAAGCACUUUAAGAUGGGAGGCGUUACCCGCAGAAUAAGCACCGGCUAACUUCGUGCCAGCAGCCGCGGUAAUUC